rnacentral:lncRNA from 1 species
AUGGAUAAAAAUGAACUGGUUCAGAAGGACAAACUGGCGAGUAAGCUGAGCAAUAUGAUGACACUGCAGUCUGCAUGAAGUCCCUAACUGAGAAAGAAGGCGAAUUAUCCAAUGAGGAGAGGAAUCGUCUUUCAGUUCCUUAUAAAAAUGUUGUAGGAGUCUGUAGGUCAUCUUGCAGGGUCAUCUCAAGUAUUGAGCAAAAGACAGAAGGUGCUGAGAAAAAAACAGCAGAUGCCUUGAGAAUACAGAGAGAAAAUUGAGAAGGAGCUAAGAGAUAUCUACAAUGAUGUGCUAUGUACUAUGUCUUUUGGAAAAGUUCUUGAUCUCCAAUGCCUCAGAAGCAGAGAGCAAAAUAUUCUAUUUAAAAAUGAAGGAGGGCUGGCAACAAAGAGACUACUAUUUUUACUUGGCCUGAGGCUGCUGCUGGUUAUGACACAAAAGGGAUCCUAGAUCAGUCACAACAAGCAUACCAAGAAGCUUGUGAAAUCACCAAAAAGGAAAUGCAACCAACAGAUCCUAUCAGAUUGGGUAUGGCUCUAAACUUCUCUGUCUUCUAUUAUGAGCUUCUGAACUCCCCAGAGAAAUCUCAUUCACUUGUAAAGGCAGCUUUUGAUGAAGCCCUUGCUGAACUUGAUACAUUAAGUGAAGAGUCAUACAAAGAUCGCCUGCUAAUGCAGUUACUGAGAGACAACUUGACACUGUGGACAUUGGAUACUCAAGGAGAUGAAACUGAAGCA